rnacentral:rRNA from 1 species
GCUGGCGGCGUGCCUAAUACAUGCAAGUCGGACGCUGGAGAUCUAGCUUGCUAGAUCGAAGGAGUGGCGAACGGGUGAGUAAUACAUAAGCAACCUACCCACGAAGACUGGGAUAAUCUCUGGAAACGGGGACUAAUACCGGAUAGGUAAUCGGAAGGCAUCUUCUGGUUAUUAAAGGUUAAAAACACUGGUGGAUGGGCUUAUGGCGCAUUAGUUAGUUGGUGAGGUAACGGCCCACCAAGACGAUGAUGCGUAGCCGGCCUGAGAGGGUGAACGGCCACAUUGGGACUGAGACACGGCCCAGACUCCUACGGGAGGCAGCAGUAGGGAAUUUUCGGCAAUGGGGGCAACCCUGACCGAGCAACGCCGCGUGAGUGAAGACGGCCUUCGGGUUGUAAAGCUCUGUUGUAAGGGAAGAACGGUAGAUAGAGAAUAUCUAAGUGACGGUACCUUACCAGAAAGCCACGGCUAACUACGUGCCAGCAGCCGCGGUAAUACGUAGGUGGCGAGCGUUAUCCGGAAUUAUUGGGCGUAAGGGGUGCGUAGGCGGCCUGUUAAGUAAGUGGUUAAAUUGUUGGGCUCAACCCAAUCCAGCCACUUAAACUGGCAGGCUAGAGUAUUGGAGAGGCAAGUGGAAUUCCAUGUGUAGCGGUAAAAUGCGUAGAUAUAUGGAGGAACACCAGUGGCGAAGGCGGCUUGCUAGCCCAAGACUGACGCUCAUGCACGAAGGCGUGGGGAGCAAAU